rnacentral:misc_RNA from 1 species
GAUGAAGAACGCAGUGAAAUGCGAUAAGUAAUGUGAAUUGCAGAAUUCAGUGAAUCAUCGAAUCUUUGAACGCACAUUGCGCCCAUUAGUAUUCUAGUGGGCAUGCCUGUUCGAGCGUCAUUUCAACCCUCAAGCCUUAGUUGCUUGGUGUUGGGAGCUUAUCUUGCCGAAAGGCGGGACAACUCCUUAAAUUUAUCGGCGGAGUCGCGGUGACCCCAAGUGUAGUAAAUUAUUUUUUCCUCGCUUUAGGUGUUAACGCUGGCUUUUCUAGCCGUUAAACCCCCCCUAAUAUUUUAAUGGUUGACCUCGGAUCAGGUAGGACUACCCGCUGAACUUAAGCAUAUCAAUAAGCGGAGGA